rnacentral:lncRNA from 1 species
UUUUUACCUCUACGGUUCUUAAUUCAUUGUUUUCAAAAAUAAAAUAAGUCAUGGUAACUGAACAAUACCAUUCACAAAAUAACAUUACUAUUUGCCAACCUGUGGCAACAUUAUCAGGCAAUCAAGCAUACAAUGUUUUACAACAAAUCUAAUGAAUUACGUUUAAAUAACCAUAUACACAUACAAGGACCUUGACUAUCAGCGGAAUGACUCCGGUGUGGAUACUAUCAUGGAGUGUUUUGGUAACCUACCGUAAGAUGAACAGGAGGAAAUGCCUCCACCUAAGAUCCAACUAUCUUCAAACCUGAAAAUUAAAACAUGAAGUUGAAAAGGGUGAGUGUAAACCUAGUAAGUGAACAUAGGAAGGAAACAAGCAAACGAUAUGGAUAGCUUUUCGAAAACAUGAUGCACUUGUUUAAAAACAAUGCAAUUUUUUAUAUUAUGAACAAAACCCGAUGCCGUACUGUUUUUCAACUCAUUUUAAAACAUUUAACAAGUUCAAGCAAGGCAAGCAUAGCAGAGCGAAUCUCAUUGCAGCAGAAAGGCAUUCUCGCUGCAACAAACUUUAGGGAAAAAUUUUGAACUAACUACCCGAGAGUUUCUCGCUGCAGCGAAAUUUCAGGCUAGUCAAGCCCUCAGCACCCGAGAGUUUCUCACUGCAGCAAGAAUGAAUUUCGCUGCAGCGAGAGAUAGGGUAGUGAAAUUAAAAGAAUUCUUGUCAUAACGAAAAAUCCAUUUUUUUUUGCUGCAAUGAAAAAUCAAUUGGGAAGCAUUUGUCAAAUUUCAACAUUUAAUAUGCAAAACAAUCACAUUUUAUUUCUUUAACAUUUAUAUGGAAUGUGUAUACAUGUAUACAACUUCCAUCUCAGCAGCUCAUGUGCACUUCCACACCACACAUAACUAGAAUCAUCCUGUGCACUUCCACACUACACAAGGCAAUAUCAUCAUGUGCACUCCCAUCUCGCACAUGGCAUAUAUCAUCAAUGUGUGCACUCACACAGCACACCACUAUCACUGUCAUGUGCACUCCCACACCGCACAUGCACAGUUACAAUUGUCACCCAAUAGUGCCAUUUAAUACAUAACAUACACGUUAACAUAAUGUAGAAACACAUGAAUUCAUCACUUUCAUAUUUCACAACAUAAAAACAUUUUAUCAAAGGCUUGUUCCCAUGCAAAUUUUAAAGAAAAACCAAUAAAAUAUUUCAAGUGGUUCAAUCAAGCAUAUAAUCAUUUAUUCCAAAACAUUUUAAUGCAAGUUCACUCACCUUAAUGCCACCUUACAAAACUAGUGCCCACAAAGUCUCAAUCCAGGUAGUCCCGAAAUACCGUUAAAACUUAUAUUUACCAAUAAGCCUUAACAACCUCCAUCAAGUCAAAAUUUGAAUUUAAUAAUUUUAAUAAAUAUACACUAUACAAUCUACACUCUAACCUAAUUUUUAACCUAGAAUUCUAGUCUAAUUCAUAAACCCUUUAAACUAUUGUUCAAGUUUGAAGUUUCUUUACCUUGGUGCUUGAAGGUAUAAAGAUCAACCAAACUAGCAAAUUUCAAGGAAAGGAAAUUUGAAGAAACUUAGAAAAUAAAGUCUAAAAAUUACAAAACCAUAAAUUAAAAAAUUCAAGGGUUGAAAAUAUAUACCUUUUAGCCUUAAAAAUGAAGAUUUGAAGCCAAAAAUCCAAGUGUUGUUGAAAGUGGAGUAGAAAUAGAAAACAAAAGAAAGGAAGAGAGAUUUUUCUUUCUCUCUCCUAGGGUUUAGAUGUGUUGGAAAUUAGGGUUAGAAACUGCAAGUUUGAUGCCCAAGAAGUUAGGAGAAGGAAAUAGCAAGAAAAGAAAAGGAAAGAAAGAAAACAAGGAAAAGAAAAUGAAAAUCUUGAAUUUUAUGGGGGAGGAACAAAAAUGGUGUUGGGAGUAGAUGAAGGAGGAAGAUG